UAGGGAAUAUUGCACAAUGGGGGAAACCCUGAUGCAGCAACGCCGCGUGAGUGAAGAAGGCCCUUGGGUUGUAAAGCUCUUUAGCGAGGGAAGAGGCUUAGCUAACCUAAUACGUUAGUUAGGUGACGGUACCUCGAGAAUAAGCACCGGCUAAUUUCGUGCCAGCAGCCGCGGUAAUACGAAAGGUGCAAGCGUUACUCGGAAUCACUGGGCGUAAAGCGCUCGUAGGCGGAUUAGUAUGUCAAUUGUGAAAGCCCAGAGCUCAACUCUGGAAUCGCAGUUGAAACUGCUUUUCUUGAAUACCUGAGAGGGUGGGGGAAUACCUAGUGGAGAAGUGAAAUUCGUAGAGAUUAGGUGGAACACCGGAGGCGAAGGCGCCUGCCUGGCAGUGUAUUGACGC
rnacentral:rRNA from 1 species